GACCAUUGCAUGUAAGUUGGGGAUGGAGCUCUGCUAGGAAGAGGAAUGGGGACAAGUGGAAGGUUAGCACCCCACGCAUAUGUGGAUGUCUACACAUGUCUGUUCUGAGCACGUAUUUUGGAGAACAAAGUGUGAUAUCUGACUCCAUGCUGGUCGCCAGCCUCAAGGCCUGGCACUCAGGUUUACAGAGGACUUUGGAUUCAUCAUACUUUCAUGAGAGCAGUUUGGCCUCUGUCCAAAUGGAUCUUCAUCCAGUCUUCCAAGAUGCUUUGCUAGACGAGGACAACGUGCAAACCAGGACUAUUCAAUAGGAGAAAAACAAACCUGAGGAAGUCUGUUGAAGCCAACUGCAUGCAGUCUGAAUUUGAAGAAACUCUGAAGCCUUACACAGAUGUAGUCUGAGGCUUAUACGUCCAAGCCAGGAAGUCUUGUUAUUUGAUUGACUGAGGAAAAUCUCCCCCUUUUCUCUAAUCUGCUUUUACUGUAAUCUUCUGUCUCUGUGAAAAGAGAACUCAGCUGUCUGUACCUAAAUUUGAUGAUUUAUAUGCUAGAAUUCAGGGAAUUUCUGCUCUGAAUCUUUUUUGGUAGAGAUGUCCAAAUGUAGCCCAGCAUUAGUCAUAUCAGACCAAGUGAAAAACAGUUGCUUCCAAUUCUUUUCUCUUUUUCGUGGUUGACAGCAGCUCCUCCUUACUGAGGAUCUCUGUUUGAGAGCUCUACGUCUGACAGCAUUCUUACCCUCUCUUCAUGAUCCUCGGAUAUGAAGAUAAAUCCCAACAAAAUACUGGCUGUAACCUCAUCUAAAAUCAUAAUCCGUGUGGUCAAUCAAAAAAUGGAGUUAAUGAGACUUGAUCAGUGCAAGUGACUUCGAGAAUCAGAGCUUUUAGAGAAUGUUUCCAGCUCCAGCUGGAAAGGAAGGACACGAAGGACACUCUCCUGUGAUGAUGAUGCCCAGCCAGUGGGAACAUGCUUGUAUUGCCACUGACAGAACCAUUGACAGCAGUGGAUUGUGUUGAAGUCUUCCUUCUACCUUGUGUUGGUUUUGCAGACAUGCGAGUUCUUUGACUUCAGUAAUGAUAUCUUCAAGGCUUCACAAUCACGGAAUGGCUGAGACUGGCAGAGACCUCUGGGUCUAUCUGUUCCUGCUCCUGCCCCAGCAGAGAUGCUCAGUAAUGUGCCCAGGAUGGUGUCCUGAUGGGUUUGAAUAUCUCCAAGGAGGAGACUCCACGAACUCUCUGGUCCCUUUGCCAGAGUUCUGUCACUCGUGCAGCUCAGCAGUGAUUCCUGAUGUUCAGAGGGAAUCUCCUGUGCUUCAGUUUCAUAGAAUCAUCAUAGAAUGGCCUGGGUUUGUGCCUGUUGUCUCUUGUUCUGGCACUAGGCACUGAGCUGAGCCUGGCUCUGUCCUCUUUGCACCUUCCUUUUGGGUAUUUGUAUGCAUUGAUCAGGUCCCUUCUGAGCCUUCUCCAGGCAGAAUGCCAUCAACUCUCUUAGCCAUUACUCUUAAGAGAGAUGCUCCAGUACCUUCAUAUUGUUGGCUCUCUCCAGUAUGGCCAUAUCUGUUGUACCAGAGAGCCCAGAACUGGAUUUUGACAGCAGACAUUUUUACCUGUGACUUGCUAGUCUCUUAUUUGCCAUGUCUUCAUGUAGACAUGGUGUGAGCACUCUUCCAGUCCCCUGGAACUACAGUGAUGUAUCAAGAUAUGUUAGAAAUGCACACCAGUGUCUUGCAAAUGGCUUGUAAUUUUGCCAAGUGACUGAACCAUCAAGAAGGUUUCACUGGGAGCAAGUAUGGGUUGUUUAUACUCCUUAGCACUGAGUAAAACAUGAUGCUAGCAGCUUGUUUUACUACCUGUGGAUCUUGCUCUAAGCCUUUAUGUUGUGGUUGGGGUUUGUUGCUUAGAGAAUAUUCAUCUGUUGCUUCCUGGGGCAAGCUCCUUUGCUUUGUUCUCAUCCCUCUGAGGUUUUCUGUGCCUUUUAAUAAACAUCUGUGAUGUAUGGUGCAGGAAAAGAAGCCUUGUUAAAUCC
ensembl:lncRNA